AUUGAACGCUGGCGGCAGGCCUAACACAUGCAAGUCGAGCGGGGUUUUCGGACCUAGCGGCGGACGGGUGAGUAAUGCGUAGGAAGCUGCCCGAUAGAGGGGGAUACCAGUUGGAAACGACUGUUAAUACCGCAUAAUGUCUACGGACCAAAGUGUGGGACCUUCGGGCCACAUGCUAUCGGAUGCGCCUACGUGGGAUUAGCUAGUUGGUGAGGUAAUGGCUCACCAAGGCGACGAUCUCUAGCUGGUCUGAGAGGAUGAUCAGCCACACUGGAACUGAGACACGGUCCAGACUCCUACGGGAGGCAGCAGUGGGGAAUAUUGGACAAUGGGCGCAAGCCUGAUCCAGCCAUGCCGCGUGUGUGAAGAAGGCCUUCGGGUUGUAAAGCACUUUCAGCGAGGAGGAAGGGGUUGUAGUUAACAGCUGCAACCUUUGACGUUACUCGCAGAAGAAGCACCGGCUAACUCUGUGCCAGCCGCCGCCGUAAAAC
rnacentral:rRNA from 1 species